CCUCCCUAACCCCGCACACACAUUCCCCCAGUUACUCAGGAAAUACUAAUUUAGGUGCAGUGGUAAGAGAUUUUACAUAUGCAAUUAAAGGUCCCAAAUCAGCUGACCUUAAAAUCUGGAAAUUAUCUUUGGUGGGCCUGACUUAAGCAGGUGAGCCUUGAAUGUAAUUAGGCUUUUUCCUGGUAAAAGAUUAGACGCAUGCAAAGGAUUUAUUAGGGGCAAGAUUCUCCUCUGCUAGCUGUUGAGAUGAAGUGGGGCAGUGGCAAGGAAACUGGGCAGCCUUUAGAAGCUGAGAGUAACCCCUGACUGACUGAUAGCAAAGAAAGAGGAGAAAUUAAAUUCUGCCCAGUGAGCUUGGAAGAGAACCCUGAGCUCCAUGUGAAAACAGAGCAGCAGCUAACACCCUGACUCUAGCUUUGUGGGAACCUAAACAGAGAAGCUAGUCAAAGCUAUGGUUUUUCCAGUAGAAUUGAUGCUUUUGAACUUUGGUGUUGGAGAAGACUCUUGAGGGUCCCUUGGACUGCAAGGAGAUCCAAUCAAUCCAUCCUAAAGGAAAUCAGUCCUGAAUAUUCAUUGGAAGGACUGAUGCUGAAGCUGAAACUCCAAUACUUUGGCCACCUGAUGAGAAGAACUGACUCACUGGAAAAAACCCUGAUGCCGGGAACGAUUGAAGGCAAGAGGAGAAGGGGACAACAGAGGAUGAGACGGUUGGAUGGCAUCACUGACUCAAUGGACAUGAGUUUGAGCCAUCUCCAGGAGUUGGUGACGGACAGGGAAGCCUAGCGUGCUGCAGUCCAUGGGGUCACAAAGAGUCGGACACUGAACUGAACUGACUGAAACAGAACCAGCCACGCUUUGUCAAGCUGCUAACUUUGUGGUAAUUUGUUAUACAGCCAUAGAAAAUGAAUACAGGUGGUCAUUUGAAAGAGAGAGACUGCCUGGACAAAGGCGCAGAGGUGUAGAGCAGCAAAAGCCCCUGGGCAGCUUAUUAAAAAAUGCAGAUUUCUGAAUCCUACCAUGAGUAUCUGCACUUUGAAGAAGCAUCCCAGGUGAUCCUUCUGAGAAUUGCUGAGCAAGAGAUAAGAAGACUUGUACCCAGAUCGUCGUCAUGGUUGAGGGGAGGGUGAAUGACUGAAGGAAGCAGCCAGGGCAUUGGUGUUUUUAAAAACAAGAUGGAAGAGUGGAAUAGCCAUCAUCAUUCCUGGAAUAUAACAAUGCUUUCUUCUGCCGGUGUCAGGAGGGGCGCUCCAUCCAGCAGCUGGGCGAUAAUACCCGUUAAGGGUGCCAAGGACUGGACCUUGAUGACUGUCCGUUUGUCAUUUGCGCCCAAGGCAAGAUGCUGGGAAGAAGGGCGCCUUCCUGUCAGCAUCUAUUACUCUGGAGUGAACAGUCUUUGUACCAUUCACUUUCAAAAAUCUAGACCCACCCCCUCCCACCUCCUUGGAUGCUCACAGUUGCUUCAUCUCUCCUGUGGGUUCACUUCCAAGGAGCUUCUUCCCCUGGACUCAGCCCUCAAGCAUUCUAAUUGAAAAUACCACCACCACCGCCCCCCACCCCAGGCCUAAAGCCUGGCUCCACUACCUGCUGCUUUGUCCCUAAAGUAGAGGCUUACGAUUAAACCACAGAAAAAGCACCGGCCCGAGUGAGCAAGAAAACAGCAGGAGCCCAAGGACUCCUGUGAACAAAGAGUCUGAUUGUUUUCAUGCAAAUUGUUUUUAGUAGGAGGGAGAUAACAGGCAAAUGAAAUAUGGGAGAUAGGCAGAGAUUUUUUUUUUUUUCUAAAGCAGUGGAAGGGGCUGGUAGUUCUUUAAUAAAACCACAGCACAUCUUAUUACAGGGAAACAUCCAGCUCCCACAUUUUUUAUUGAAUGAAAGAGAAUUUCUGCUCUCCACUCUGGCUCCUCUUCCUCCCCUUCCAGUCCAGUGCAAUUAUGUCUCUUUCUGCUUUCCUGACAGUUCAUCUUAGCCUUGUCUGAAAUAGUCUGUUUUGGAAUGUUACUGCUACCUAAUAAUGAAAAGUGUAUCACCAGAGAGUGAUUUUAAGUGAUAGGGAGAAUAAGCAACAUUAAUUCUACUAGUUGUCUGUUUAUUAUUAACAUACUUAAGAAAUACUGUGUCUAGCACAUCCAAUCCAUGAUUUUAUUACAGGUAAUGGCAGCCCUGGUUUUAAAAAGUGAAUUAAUAUAGAGCCAAUAAAGAGAAAAGUAUUAAAU
ensembl:lncRNA